GGGAGGCAGCAGUGAGGAAUAUUGGUCAAUGGACGAGAGUCUGAACCAGCCAAGUAGCGUGAAGGAUGACUGCCUAUGGGUUGUAAACUUCUUUUAUAUGGGAAUAAGUGGAGUAUGUAUACUCUUUUGUAUGUACCAUAUGAAUAAGGAUCGGCUAACUCCGUGCCAGCAGCCGCGGUAAUACGGAGGAUCCGAGCGUUAUCCGGAUUUAUUGGGUUUAAAGGGAGCGUAGGCGGAUGCUUAAGUCAGUUGUGAAAGUUUGCGGCUCAACCGUAAAAUUGCAGUUGAAACUGGGUGUCUUGAGUGCAGUAUAGGCAGGCGGAAUUCGUGGUGUAGCGGUGAAAUGCUUAGAUAUCACGAAGAACUCCGAUUGCGAAGGCAGCUUGCUGGAGUGUCACUGGCGCUGAUGCUCGAAAGUGUGGGU
rnacentral:rRNA from 1 species